AUUUAAAGCAGCAUCAACAUUCAAUGAUACGCUAUAAACUUUCAAGAUGAAGUCAAUCCAGAUGAUCGUCGCAAUUUUAGUUUUUACCGCUGUGUGCGUUACAGGUUAUUACCAAAACCUGAUGCCAAUAUGCUACAAUAAAGACGGAUAUUGCGAAAUCGGCCCUGCAUGUCGCAAAGGAUUCACUUGUGACGUAAAUAUGCCAUAUGGAUGCAGAGGGGCAAAAUGUUGUAUUCGUGAUCAAGUAACAUACGAGACGUACGCAGCACCAGUAUAUAACUCCCGUAGACACUGGAAGAAAUAAUAAACCACAAGGCUACGGUUAUUGAAGACAGGUGUUCUAAGAGGAAACAUCAAAAAUGAAGUCAAUUACAAACUUUGAUUUCAAAUAAAAGAUUUUAGAAAUAAAAAAUCGUCCGAGUUUAUGAUGUAUAUUAAAUGUGGC